CUCCCCGCCCGCCCCGACCCGGGCCGCCCUCCGGGCCGCCCCCCGGGCUCACCUCGCCGCGGGGUGACUCAGGGCGGGGUUUUUCGGUUUCGGGGGGCACCGGCAGCCGGGGUGAGGUACACUUGUGGCAGGGAGGCUGCUUUUGGCCUCCCCGCGGCCGCCAGCAGUUUUUACGAGAAGUCUAAGCACAAAAGAGAAACGCGAGUGGCAGCCGUCGGAAGAACGGCUUGUGUUGAAACACGCCUGGAGACACGAACGAGCGUGCUCUUUGGGCUCAUGUGAGGACAGACCUCACCUCUGCUGAAAGCAUGCUGAAUUCACAUUGACUGGAUGGCAGAAACUGCAUCAAGAGAAACAGAUCAAGUUGGAAGUCAAAGUGAACAUAGGUAUUGCAAAAACAACUCAACCAGUUAGGGCUGCAAGUUCUGUUUAUAGUUUCCCAUGGACAAAAGACGUAGCCCAGGGCUGUGUCAUCUUGACAGCUAAC